rnacentral:rRNA from 1 species
AUUGAACGCUGGCGGCAUGCCUUACACAUGCAAGUCGAACGGCAGCACGGGUGCUUGCCCCUGGUGGCGAGUGGCGAACGGGUGAGUAAUACAUCGGAACAUGUCCUGUAGUGGGGGAUAGCCCGGCGAAAGCCGGAUUAAUACCGCAUACGAUCUACGGAUGAAAGCGGGGGACCUUCGGGCCUCGCGCUAUAGGGUUGGCCGAUGGCUGAUUAGCUCGUUGGUGGGGUAAAGGCCUACCAAGGCGACGAUCAGUAGCUGGUCUGAGAGGACGACCAGCCACACUGGGACUGAGACACGGCCCAGACUCCUACGGGAGGCAGCAGUGGGGAAUUUUGGACAAUGGGCGAAAGCCUGAUCCAGCAAUGCCGCGUGUGUGAAGAAGGCCUUCGGGUUGUAAAGCACUUUUGUCCGGAAAGAAAUCCUUGGCCCUAAUACGGUCGGGGGAUGACGGUACCGGAAGAAUAAGCACCGGCUAACUACGUG